AGAGUUUGAUCCUGGCUCAGGAUGAACGCUGGCGGCGUGCCUAAUACAUGCAAGUCGAGCGAACGGACGAGAAGCUUGCUUCUCUGAUGUUAGCGGCGGACGGGUGAGUAACACGUGGAUAACCUACCUAUAAGACUGGGAUAACUUCGGGAAACCGGAGCUAAUACCGGAUAAUAUUUUGAACCGCGUGGUUCAAAAGUGAAAGACGGUCUUGCUGUCACUUAUAGAUGGAUCCGCGCUGCAUUAGCUAGUUGGUAAGGUAACGGCUUACCAAGGCAACGAUGCAUAGCCGACCUGAGAGGGUGAUCGGCCACACUGGAACUGAGACACGGUCCAGACUCCUACGGGAGGCAGCAGUAGGGAAUCUUCCGCAAUGGGCGAAAGCCUGACGGAGCAACGCCGCGUGAGUGAUGAAGGUCUUCGGAUCGUAAAACUCUGUUAUUAGGGAAGAACAUAUGUGUAAGUAACUGUGCACAUCUUGACGGUACCUAAUCAGAAAGCCACGGCUAACUACGUGCCAGCAGCCGCGGUAAUACGUAGGUGGCAAGCGUUAUCCGGAAUUAUUGGGCGUAAAGCGCGCGUAGGCGGUUUUUUAAGUCUGAUGUGAAAGCCCACGGCUCAACCGUGGAGGGUCAUUGGAAACUGGAAAACUUGAGUGCAGAAGAGGAAAGUGGAAUUCCAUGUGUAGCGGUGAAAUGCGCAGAGAUAUGGAGGAACACCAGUGGCGAAGGCGACUUUCUGGUCUGUAACUGACGCUGAUGUGCGAAAGCGUGGGGAUCAAACAGGAUUAGAUACCCUGGUAGUCCACGCCGUAAACGAUGAGUGCUAAGUGUUAGGGGGUUUCCGCCCCUUAGUGCUGCAGCUAACGCAUUAAGCACUCCGCCUGGGGAGUACGACCGCAAGGUUGAAACUCAAAGGAAUUGACGGGGACCCGCACAAGCGGUGGAGCAUGUGGUUUAAUUCGAAGCAACGCGAAGAACCUUACCAAAUCUUGACAUCCUUUGACAACUCUAGAGAUAGAGCCUUCCCCUUCGGGGGACAAAGUGACAGGUGGUGCAUGGUUGUCGUCAGCUCGUGUCGUGAGAUGUUGGGUUAAGUCCCGCAACGAGCGCAACCCUUAAGCUUAGUUGCCAUCAUUAAGUUGGGCACUCUAAGUUGACUGCCGGUGACAAACCGGAGGAAGGUGGGGAUGACGUCAAAUCAUCAUGCCCCUUAUGAUUUGGGCUACACACGUGCUACAAUGGACAAUACAAAGGGCAGCGAAACCGCGAGGUCAAGCAAAUCCCAUAAAGUUGUUCUCAGUUCGGAUUGUAGUCUGCAACUCGACUACAUGAAGCUGGAAUCGCUAGUAAUCGUAGAUCAGC
rnacentral:rRNA from 1 species